UACAGAGGUCUCAAGCGUUGUUCGGAUUCAUUGGGCGUAAAGUGUGCGCAGGCGGCGUUGCAAGUCGAGUGUGAAAUCCCCGAGCUUAACUUGGGAAUUGCGCUCGAAACUACGAUGCUCGAGUGUGGCAGAGGAAGGUGGAAUUCCACGUGUAGCGGUGAAAUGCGUAGAGAUGUGGAGGAACACCGAUGGCGAAGGCAGCCUUCUGGGCCAACACUGACGCUCAUGCACGAAAGCGUGGGGAGCAAACAGG
rnacentral:rRNA from 1 species